rnacentral:rRNA from 1 species
GGCAGCAGCUAAGAAUAUUCCACAAUGGACGGACGUCUGAUGGAGCGACGCCGCGUGCGCGAUGAAGGCCGUGAGGUUGUAAAGCGCUUUUCUUGAGGGGGAACAACACAUCCAGGGAAUGGGAUGUGGAUGACGUGAAUCGAGGAAUAAGCCCCGGCUAACUACGUGCCAGCAGCCGCGGUAACACGUAGGGGGCGAGCGUUGUUCGGAAUCAUUGGGCGUAAAGGGCGCGCAGGCGGCCCGGUAAGUCUGGUGUAAAAUGGUCGUGCUCAACACGAUCAUGCGCUGGAAACUGUCGGGCUAGAGUCAACGAGGGGAUGCCGGAAUUCCAGGUGUAGGGGUGAAAUCUGUAGAUAUCUGGAAGAACACCGAUGGCGAAGGCAGGCAUCUGGCGACUGACUGACGCUGAGGCGCGAAGGUGCGGGGAGCAAACAGGUUUAGAUACCCUGGUAGUCCGCACAGUAAACGAUGUGCACCAGGUGGCGGGCAGCAGUGCUCGGUACCGAAGCAAACGCAUUAAGUGCACCGCCUGGGGAGUAUGCCCGCAAGGGUGAAACUCAAAGGAAUUGACGG